rnacentral:rRNA from 1 species
CACACCUAAUAACUUUCCACGUGAACCGUCWACCCAACCAGUUUAGCGUCAUCUUGUGUGCGUCUUUUCUCGAUUGCUUUUUAAUUAAAUUGCGAGAGAGGGGAAACAAGCGCAAUUUAGACAGAACGAAGGUCGAGCUGUUUUUCUAUUCGUAGUGAGACGGCUUGGCUGAUUUAUCCUUUUCAAACCCAUUACCUAAAUACUGAUUAUACUGUGAGGACGAAAGUCCUUGCUUUUACUAGAUAGCAACUUUCAGCAGUGGAUGUCUAGGCUCGCACAUCGAUGAAGAACGCUGCGAACUGCGAUACGUAAUGCGAAUUGCAGGAUUCAGUGAGUCAUCGAAAUUUUGAACGCAUAUUGCACUUUCGGGUUAUGCCUGGAAGUAUGUCUGUAUCAGUGUCCGUAUCACAACCUUGCCUCUCUUUGUUUUGUGUGUGUUGCUCUUUAUUGGGCGGCGUGUGCGGAAUGUCGAGAUGGCAGACUUGAAGUGUCUCGCUUGUUGGGUGUUUCAUUUUAUUCUUCGGAGUAAAUAAAUGCUACGACUGGGCGAGUCCUUUUAAACGGACACGACUGUUCUGCUGUUUUCUGCAAAAGUGUGUCGCUCGAAAAGCGGUGGUUCCAUUGGGAUCGCUCGCAGUCGGCCGGGGACUUUGGCAGAUGCGUGUGGGAGAGAGAUAGACAGACUCGACUCGCGGUACGUUAGGGUGAGUGCUUUAUUCGUAAGGCGUUCGUUCGAACAAUGUUGCGUAUUGGGUUUGUGUGUUUUUUUCUCGCGUGAAGCGCGUUUGCUUUGAGGUGUACCGACCAUAGUGCUGUGAGCUUGAACCUGGUGUGUGACUUACUGCUAAAGUAGAGUGGUGCUAUUUCUUUUGCGGGAGUGCUCGGUUUGUUUCCGCCAAGUGCGGAGGCGAGUUGUGUAAAGCGUUCGGUCGGCAUAUUUGGGAAGUCAAUGUGCACGUGUAUCGUUGCAGUAAUUCUUGCUCGACUCUUUGAUUUCAUAAUUGAAAAGUGUGUGUGAGUUUGCAGUGUUGCGUGCAUAUCUCAAUUGGACCUGAUAUCAGACAAGACUACCCGCU